rnacentral:rRNA from 1 species
UACGUAGGGUGCAAGCGUUGUCCGGAAUUAUUGGGCGUAAAGAGCGCGUAGGCGGUCCGAUAAGUCGGCUGUGAAAGUCAGGGGCUCAACCCUUGAAAGCCGGCCGAUACUGUCGGACUAGAGUCCGGAAGAGGCAAGUGGAAUUCCCGGUGUAGCGGUGAAAUGCGCAGAUAUCGGGAGGAACACCAAUGGCGAAGGCAGCUUGCUGGGACGGUACUGACGCUGAGGCGCGAAAGCGUGGGGAGCAAACAGG